GGUUGUGGGCCUUUGUCUUGGAGGCUUUUUUUGCUGAGAUGGACCUCGAAUCUUCUGAGACAGGGGAGGUCAAGGAAGAAACAAGGAGUCAAGGAGGCUUAUCGGUACUAAGUCAAGGAAUCAGAGGGUUGAUAUGCUUCUCCACCACAUUUUGAGCGCUGAGCUGCACGAAAACGGCAGGUUCUUCCCUCUCCCUAGACCGCACGCGCUUCUAGCUUAUGAUUGGUUACACGUAUUUAUCAAGGGCAAUGAAGCUUUCAUUAUCUUUUGAGGGUUUGGAUGUGAGGGGAAAAGGAGUUGAGCUACAAGAAGAUGAGAUUUUUUCUCCAAUCAUCACUUUUGCAGUGGAAUCUGUUAUGUGAUCAUGUGUUUUUUGAGUGGUUUUUGUUUGGUACAGAUUGCAGAUUCAGGCUCUCUCUCUCUCCCUAGAAAAUCUUGAAGAUUUUCCACUUCUUAAUUGUCUUUUUUAGGUUGUAUUUUUAUUAAAAUGGUCACUAGCUUUAUGUUGAAAUUUUAGUGGGGCGUGUUAAAUUAUGCAUGGAGUUACAAAGUCAUGGAAUCUUACCAGAAAUCCAAGAUUUCUUUUA